CCUACGGGAGGCAGCAGUGAGGAAUAUUGGUCAAUGGGAGAGAUCCUGAACCAGCCAAGCCGCGUGAGGGAAGACGGCCCUAUGGGUUGUAAACCUCUUUUGUCGGAGAACAAAACCCGGGACGUGUCCCGGACUGCGUGUAUCCGAAGAAAAAGCAUCGGCUAACUCCGGGCCAGCAGCCGCGGUAAUACGGAGGAUGCGAGCGUUAUCCGGAUUUAUUGGGUUUAAAGGGUGCGUAGGCGGUCCGUUAAGUCAGCGGGAAAAUUGCGGGGCUCAACCCCGUCGAUCCGUUGAGACUGGCAGACUUGAGUUGGCGAGAAGUACGCGGAAUGCGCGGUGUAGCGGUGAAAUGCAUAGAUAUCGCGCAGAACUCCGAUUGCGAAGGCAGCGUACCGGCGCCAGACUGACGCUGAGGCACGAAAGCGUGGGGAUCGAACAGGAUUAGAUACCCUGGUAGUC
rnacentral:rRNA from 1 species